rnacentral:rRNA from 1 species
UACAGAGGUGGCAAGCGUUGUUCGGAAUUACUGGGCGUAAAGGGCGCGUAGGCGGCCCUCUAGGUCAGACGUGAAAUCCCCCGCGUACUGGACGUGCGUCUGAUACUGGAGGGCGUCGAGUUUGGGUAGGAGGGAGUGUAGAAUUCCAGGUGUAGCGGUGAAAUAGCGUAGAUAUCUGGAGGAAUACCGGUGGCGAAGGCGGCAUCCUGGACCAACACUGACGCUGAGGCGCGAAAGC